rnacentral:rRNA from 1 species
CCUACGGGCGGCAGCAGUGGGGGAUAUUGCACAAUGGGGGAAACCCUGAUGCAGCGACGCCGCGUGGGCGAAGAAGUAUUUCGGUAUGUAAAGCCCUAUCAGCAGGGAAGAAGAAAUGACGGUACCUGAGUAAGAAGCACCGGCUAAAUACGUGCCAGCAGCCGCGGUAAUACGGAGGGUGCAAGCGUUAUCCGGAUUUACUGGGUGUAAAGGGAGCGCAGGCGGGACGGCAAGCCUGAUGUGAAAGCCCGCGGCCUAACCGCAGGACUGCAUUGGGAACUACCGGGCUGGAGUGCCGGAGAGGUAGGCGGAAUUCCUAGUGUAGCGGUAAAAUGCGUAGAUAUUAAGAGGAAUACCAAUGGCGAAGGCGACCUGCUGGACGGUAACUGACGCUGAGGCGCGAAAGCGUGGGGAGCAAACAGGAUUAGAUACCCGAGUAGUC